UACGUAGGCAGCGAGCGUUGUUCGGAGUUACUGGGCGUAAAGGGGUGUGUAGGCGGUUCUUUAAGUUUGGUGUGAAAUCUCCCGGCUCAACCGGGAGGGUGCGCCGAAUACUGAGGACUAGAGUGCGGGAGAGGAAAGUGGAAUUCCUGGUGUAGCGGUGAAAUGCGUAGAUAUCAGGAGGAACACCGGUGGUGUAGACGGCUUUCUGGACCGUAACUGACGCUGAGACACGAAAGCGUGGGUAGCAAACAGG
rnacentral:rRNA from 1 species